GGGUGCGAUCAUACCAGCACUAAUGCACCGGAUCCCAUCAGAACUCCACAGCUAAGCGUGCCUGGGCGAGAGUAGUACUAGGAUGGGUGACCUCUUGGGAAGUCCUUGUGUUGCACCCC
rfam:Gossypium raimondii scaffold_179_contig_8, whole genome shotgun sequence.